UUCAUUCUAUCUGUUAAUGCUACAGUUUAACGUGAUGAGGCUACUUCUAUUGCAUUUCUCCCUUUCUCAUUUGUGAAAAGCUGACGUUUUCAGCAGUCACAAAAUACACAUCAUGGUGCAAAAUGGAAGGAGCCAAAUAUUCCUCCUUUUCCACAAAGCUGAAAUUGUAGCAGUACAAAACAGUUCAGCAGUGGUUCACACGGUAUGAACCAGAAUCCUAUAAGGUGAAUGGAGGGCUGUGGAUGAAAUAUGCUGUAGAGAAAAAGGUUGUAUCUAGCAGGGGCAAAAAAGGAUGGUGGUGGUGUGUUCAGGUGACUGGAGGAAAGCCAAAGUUUGUGCUUCACCUCAGAUGAGUUCAACAAGUAGCAACAGGCUUUUUUUUUUUCCCCUGUGUAAAUCACAGUACAGCAGUACUUCACAGAUAAACUGCAGUGAGAACUAAUGCCAGUGUCCUUGCUUUCUAGACUCUUUGCUUCCACUUUCCUGGCAUUAUGUCACAUUUUCAACUAAUUACAGGCAAACACAAGGUGGGAAGGUGAAGGCAAUGAUUUUGCUGCUUCCAGAAAUAUAGUCAGGACUUCAUCUGUCAUAUAUAAGUGGCAGUAGUGCCUCUUAAAGCUUUCAGUAAACAAAAUGUUGAUAGUGCCUUCAUGAUGGCUGAAGGGGAAUGAACAGAGUCAUUCAGGCUUAGAUUUUGUUGGGACUUCCCAGCAUAAUUUUGCCAGAGUAUAACUGACGUCCAUGCUUAUCCAAAGGUUGGAAAAGUUUCUCGGUCCUUGAAAGCUAACCAUAUUAUAUUGGAGGGAAUACAGAGAAUGGUACUCUUCCAGUGCUUUCCUAUUGUGCUGGUUUUGGCUGGGAUAGAGUUCAUUUUCUUCCUAGUGGCUGGUAUGGGGCUCCGUUUUGGAUUUGUGCUGAGAACAGUGCUGAUAACACAGGGAUGUGUUCGUGGUUGCUGAGCAGUGCUUACCCAGAGCCAAGGGCUGUUCUGCUUCUCACCCCACCCCACCAGCGAGGAGGCUGGGGGGGCACAAGGAGUUGGGAGGGGACACAGCCGGGACAGCUGACCCCAACUGACCCAAGGGAUAUCCCAGACCAUAUGACGUCAUGCUCAGCAUAUAGAGCUGAGGGAAGAAGAAGGAAGGGAGGACGUUGGGAGUGAUGGCAUUUGUCUUCCCGAGUCACCGUUAGGCGUGAUGGAGCCCUGCUUUCCCGGAGAUGGCUGAACACCUGCCUGCCCAUGGGAAGUGGGGAAGGAAUUCCUUGUUUUGCUUUGCUUGUGCACGUGGCUUUUGCUUUCCCUAUUAAACUGUCUUUAGCUCAACCCACGAGUUUUCUCACUUUUACUCUCUCCCCCAUCCCACCAGGGAGGAACGAGCGAGCGGCUGUGUGGGGUUUAGUUGCUGGCUGGGGUUAAACCAUGACGCCUAUCUAUCACACAAUGUCUCAGCUGGAUGGUCUGUAACACCUCCCGAGAAGAAUAUGAGUCCUCUGUUUGCUCGCUCACUCAGCAUAAUGAAAAGAAGAGAUGAAAUAAAGUCAGCAGCACUCAAAAUAGACUCUCGACCACUGGAUGCUGCUCUUUGCAUCACGCUAUGAAAGGAGAGCCAUUCCCACUGUGUAACUCUGCCACAGUACGUUUUGUUACUCAUGUACAGAUCCAAGAAUAAAUUUUGGCCCUGACCAUGGAAUAUUCACUCACUUUCAAAUACGGAUGUGACCUGCCUUUUCCUUCUGCAACUAACAGGGUGACCAGAGGCAGUGGAAUGUACACCAGGAUUGGAAAGAAUAAAACCAGAGGGAAAGCAAGCUGUCAAGAGAACAGUGUACUGAAGAGGAAAAAUGUAAACAUGACUUCUAUUUACCAAGAUUAAUAUGUAAAGUUAACAUGUUUGUCAUGGAAUAUAUUAAUAUGUAUGUUUUCCCAUUAUGUAGAUCUUUUCUUAUAUUACUUAUUAGAAAGGGAUAUAAUCACAAUGAUGGGGCAAGAAUGCCACUUAAAAAUUAGGUGAUGCCCAGUCAACAUAAUAUAACCACUACAGUGUCAUUUCUGAUUUAGAUGUGGUGAUAUCAGUGUAAUUGCCACUGGGAAGAAAUUAUAAUGGCUGUUAAUGAUAAAUAAAAUGACAAGAAGGAGGAUCCUCCUUCACAUAUAA